rnacentral:rRNA from 1 species
UACGAAGGGGGCUAGCGUUGCUCGGAAUUACUGGGCGUAAAGCGCACGUAGGCGGCUUUCUAAGUCGGGGGUGAAAUCCCGGGGCUCAACCCCGGAACUGCCUUUGAUACUGGGUAUCUCGAGUCCGAGAGAGGUGAGUGGAAUUCCGAGUGUAGAGGUGAAAUUCGUAGAUAUUCGGAGGAACACCAGUGGCGAAGGCGGCUCACUGGCUCGGUACUGACGCUGAGGUGCGAAAGCGUGGGGAGCAAACAGG